rnacentral:rRNA from 1 species
AUGGACCAUUCCAUCCCUUUUUCCCGUGCAUAUGCAUCGGACUCGGAUGACGAUGGUCCCGAUGAACAAGUUGAUGCGGAGGGGUUCACGGUGAAGGAGGCCGAAGCUUUCGAGAAGGUAUUUGGUCGGGAUCAUCGGACUACAUUGUUCAAGGAUGUUAGUCUCGCGGAUGAAGCCGUGGUAGAUGGUGGCCAAUGUGUACCUCUUGGGGUUAGGCCAAGCUCUCACCGUGAUUUGUUAGGCGACAAGAACCGGAUUGCUAAAGGUUCUAAGUUUGACACCUUGUUGAAAUUGAAGAUGUGGCUCGACAACUACUCGGUUACGCAUUAUCGUCCACACAAGGUGGUGAACUCGGACGUCAAUGUGCGCUACACGGUUGCAUGUGCAUGUGAAGAUGAAAUAUGUCCGUGGAUUGUGCGUGCAAGACCAUGGAAAGGAGGUCCAAUUUUGGCAUGUAGUGAGUUGUGUGCCAACUCACUUGUGCCAAGGCAAAAGGGUGGAUGGCAAGAUUGUGUCCCAAGACCACAAACAACUCACGUCCGAAUUCAUCGCUUACAGGCUCUCCAACUCAAUAUCCACACUUCCAACAAUGAGCGUCUAACAUGUCAUUGA